rnacentral:rRNA from 1 species
CAAUAGCGUAUAUUAAAGUUGCUGCAGUUAAAAAGCUCGUAGUUGCAUUUCCGAGGCAAGGGAUUAGUCCGACCUUUGGUGGGUAUUUAAUCCUCUUGCCUCGUCCUUGAGUGGUGCUUCUUGGUAUUAAGUUAUCGAGGAGAUAGCCGCUCAUCGUUUACUGUGAGAAAAUUAGAGUGUUCAAAGCAGGCUUAUGCCGUUGGAUAUAUUAGCAUGGAAUAAUAAGAUAGGACCUCGGUACUAUUUUGUUGGUUUGAGAACCAAGGUAAUGAUGAAUAGGGACAGUUGGGGGUAUUCGUAUUCAGUUGUCAGAGGUGAAAUUCUUAGAUUUACGGAAGACGAACUACUGCGAAAGCAUUUACCAAGGAUGUUUUCAUUAA